rfam:Microgenomates bacterium GW2011_GWC1_39_7b TT58_C0003, whole genome shotgun sequence.
GGUGGGGUGUCCGAGUGGUUCAAGGAGCACGAUUGGAAAUCGUGUGGUCGAAAGGCCUCGCAGGUUCGAAUCCUGUCCCCACCG